AUGGUCUCCCCAUGGCAGCUCCUCUGGCUACUGGUGUUCUGGGCUCAAGGUAAGAUUCCCAUUGUGCUGACUCAGUCUCCAGCCUCCUUGUCCAGAUCUCCAAGAGAGAGUGUCACCAUCAGCUCCAAGGCCAGUGGGAGUCUAACAGAUAGUUAUGGUUAUCACCACUUACAUUGGUACCAGAAGAAGCCUGGCCAAGUCCUGAAGCUCCUCAUCUACUGGGCUAACAGGCUGGCUUCUAGAGUGCCUGCCCGGUUCAGUGGCAGUGGGUCUGGGACAGAUUUCACUCUCACCAUCAGCAGCCUGGAGCCUGUGGAUGCUGGAGAUUAUUACUGUCAGCAGUCUAAGAGUUUCCCUUUCCCAUAG